rnacentral:tRNA from 1 species
UGUUCUGUGGCUUAGUUGGUUAAAGCACCGGUCUAGCGAAUACGGGGUCGGGGGGUCGUGGGUUCGAAUCCCACCAGAAUGC